rnacentral:misc_RNA from 1 species
GAUGAAUAACGUAGCGAAAUGCGAUAAGUAAUGUGAAUUGCAGAAUUCAGUGAAUCAUCGAAUCUUUGAACGCACAUUGCGCCCAUUAGUAUUCUAGUGGGCAUGCCUGUUCGAGCGUCAUUAAGUCCACUUAAGCCCUGCUUAGUGUUGGGAGACUGCUCCAGCGGUGCUACCCUGUAGCUACCCUGCAGCUCCUCAAAGACAGCGGCGGAGUUGUGGUAUCCUCUGAGCUUAGUAACUUGUUCUAGCUUUCGAGUACACCACUUCCCCUGCCGUAAAACCCUUAAUUUUUAAUGGUUGACCUCGGAUCAGGUAGGAAUACCCGCUGAACUUAAGCAUAUCAAUAAGCGGAGGA